rnacentral:lncRNA from 1 species
UUCAAGCAGACCAGCUUUGCACACUUUUUACCCAGUCGCGUGUUUGCUUCUGCAGUUAGUUGUACGAAUGGAAGCCAUCGAGUCGGAUAUAGAUUCAUUCCCCGCUUAGAAAUCUUCUUUCUCAACGUCUGUCGGAUCGAAAGUGCAGUGCCUUCCCCGUCGAAACUUCUCCAGGUCGCUUUUCUGUAAUUUCUUCGCUCCCGCCGGCUGCAUGCGGGUCAUUUUGGGGGACUAUUCUCCAGACGUUGGGAACGUUUAAUAUUGAGAUAGGAUUUUAUUACGUUACAAACUUCAAUCACGUCCCAUAGGAGCUCAUGGCGCCGUCAGGUUAGGAGACCCACUCUUUCAUCUCUCAGCCACUCUUGGUGUUCGUUCGAUAAUCUUUUUUGAAAGAUAUUUCGGGGUAGAUUUGAGGAGAGGAAAUGUCCUCGCUUUCAUUUUAUGGAAUAAAUCAAGAGGGCUUUAUCGCAAGUGUUUCAAAAACUUGGCAGAUAUCGAUAUAACUGUGUACAACCAUUCGAAAGUUUGGAAAACCUUUAAUGAACUUGCAAGCCUUUGAAAUGAGCAGCGAGGGACGAUAGAUGAUCCCGACUUUCAAUACAUCUGUCUAGAAGUACUUCUUCAAGUGGCCAAAGUGUAGCGCAGGGACUAGAUAUAGUUUGCAUGGUGAAAUCUUUCAGAUGAUCUGGUCGUGGAGCUUCCUGUAUAUUUAAUCAAAGCCCCUCGUCCCCCUACCUUUUUGGAGAGAUUUCCGCCCCUGCUUCAUCGGGAUCGUCAUUAGCGUCGCAACAGUGAGUCGAUUUCCAGUUGUUGUUUUUUAUAUCAAUUUAAAUUCGUAUAUUGAUCACUAGAUGAAUGAGAAGAAAGGUCAAGUCCACCCC